CAGUCGAGCGGAACGAGAAUAGCUUGCUAUUCGGCGUCGAGCGGCGGACGGGUGAGUAAUGCUUGGGAAUAUGCCUUAUGGUGGGGGACAACAGUUGGAAACGACUGCUAAUACCGCAUAACGUCUACGGACCAAAGGGGGGGAUCUUCGGACCUCUCGCCAUUUGAUUAGCCCAAGUGAGAUUAGCUAGUUGGUAAGGUAAUGGCUUACCAAGGCGACGAUCUCUAGCUGGUUUGAGAGGAUGAUCAGCCACACUGGGACUGAGACACGGCCCAGACUCCUACGGGAGGCAGCAGUGGGGAAUAUUGCACAAUGGGCGAAAGCCUGAUGCAGCCAUGCCGCGUGUGUGAAGAAGGCCUUCGGGUUGUAAAGCACUUUCAGCGAGGAGGAAAGGUUAGUAGUUAAUAACUGCUAGCUGUGACGUUACUCGCAGAAGAAGCACCGGCUAACUUCGUGCCAGCAGCCGCGGUAAUACGAGGGGUGCAAGCGUUAAUCGGAAUUACUGGGCGUAAAGCGUGCGUAGGUGGUUUGUUAAGCAAGAUGUGAAAGCCCUGGGCUCAACCUGGGAACUGCAUUUUGAACUGGCAAGCUAGAGUUUUGUAGAGGGUAGUGGAAUUUCCAGUGUAGCGGUGAAAUACGUAGAGAUUGGAAGGAACAUCAGUGGCGAAGGCGGCUACCUGGACAAAGACUGACACUGAGGCACGAAAGCGUGGGGAGCAAACAGGAUUAGAUACCCUGGUAGUCCACGCCGUANACGAUGUCAACUAGCCGUCUGUGGUNNNGAACCGUGGGUGGCGUAGCUAACGCGCUAAGUUGACCGCCUGGGGAGUACGGCCGCAAGGUUAAAACUCAAAUGAAUUGACGGGGGCCCGCACAAGCGGUGGAGCAUGUGGUUUAAUUCGAUGCAACGCGAAGAACCUUACCAUCCCUUGACAUCCNNNNNAGCGACUAGAGAUAGACGUGUGNNNNNNNGAACUCUNNNANAGGUGCUGCA
rnacentral:rRNA from 1 species